rnacentral:rRNA from 1 species
GGGGGGGGGAGCAAGCGUUGUUCGGAAUCACUGGGCGUAAAGGGCGCGUAGGGCGGCCGCGUAAGUCGCGUGUGAAAGGGCCGGGGGCUCAACCCCGUGUACUGCAUGUGAUACUGCGUGGCUUGAGAAAGGUAGAGGCGAGCGGAAUUCCCGGUGUAGCGGUGGAAUGCGUAGAUAUCGGGAAGAACACCAGUGGCGAAGGCGGCUCGCUGGGCCUUUUCUGACGCUGUAGCGCGAAAGCGUGGGGAGCAAACAGGAUUAGAUACCCUGGUAGUCCACGCCGUAAACGAUGGGUACUAGGUGUUGGGAGGAUUGACCCUUUCAGUGCCGACGCUAACGCAUUAAGUACCCCGCCUGGGGAGUACGGCCGCAAGGCUG